rnacentral:misc_RNA from 1 species
CGCACAUUGCGCCCUUUGGUAUUCCGAGGGGCACGCCUGUUCGAGCGUCAUUUAAUCCAUCAAGCACCGCUUGGUCUUGGGCGAGGUCGAGCGACCCACCCGUAACCCGUUGGCGGCACCGUCCGGCUUCAAGCGUAGCAAUAAUUUCGCUUUGGGAGCUGUGGCGGCGCCUACCGGACAACAUCCAUCUAAAGUUUGACCUCGGAUCAGGUGGGGAUACCCGCUGAACUUAA